rnacentral:rRNA from 1 species
GAUUUCUGGUAUAGUGCGCUUGGCCCGCCACGGUUUCGUGUGUGAGUGCCGAUGCGUGCUUACCAUCUUUCUGGAGAACGUUCCUGCCCUUUACUGGGUUGGGUUCGCAAUCCAGAACUUUUACUUUGAAAAAAUUAGAGUGUUUAAAGCAGGCGUGAGCUAUGAAUACAUUAGCAUGGAAUGAUCAGGUAGGACUUGAGUUUUAUUUUGUUGGUUCCAGAACUUAAGUAAUGAUUGAUAGGGAUUGUUGGGGGUGCCAGUAUUCAGCGGCCAGAGGUGAAAUUCUUGGAUUCGCUGAAGACUAACUUAAGCGAAAGCAUU